rnacentral:rRNA from 1 species
CUAUACAUGACUCUGUGCAUAUCAAUAAGCGGAGGAAAAGAAACUAACAAGGAUUCCCCUAGUAACGGCGAGUGAAGCGGGAAGAGCUCAAAUUUGAAAUCUUAAAGGGUUUCCCUUGAUGAAUUGUAGUUUAAAGAAGUGUUUUCUGUUAGAGAGGUUCGGUAAAAGUUCUUUGGAAUAGGACAUCAUAGAGGGUGAGAAUCCCGUAUUUGAUCACUUUACUUCCUAACUGUGUGAUACACUUUCAAAGAGUCGGAUUGUUUGGGAAUGCAGUCCAAAAUGGGUGGUAAAUUUCAUCUAAAGCUAAAUAUUGGCGAGAGACCGAUAGCGAACAAGUACCGUGAGGGAAAGAUGAAAAGAACUUUGAAAAGAGAGUUAAACAGUACGUGAAAUUGUCAAAAGGAAGCGUUUGACACCAGUGUUGUUUUUCCGAAAAUCAAUUACGAAUGUUUGUAUUUUGAGAAGUUAUGUACUUCAUCGGCUUGCUCUCUUCUUUACUGAAACUUUCUUAAUGCACUUUUCGGUUAACAAGUCAACAUCAAUUUCUUUUGUUGUAAAAGGGUAUGAGGAAGGUGGCUUUCUUUUCGGAGAAAGUUGUUUAUAGCCUUGUACCUCUGCAAUCGGAGAGAUUGAGGUCUGCAGCGUAGAUCCUUCGGGGUUAGAUACAUUUGUGCUAAGUUAUAGCUUUUCAUAGACAACUUGUUGACUAUGUUUAGUCUUGUAGCUUACUCGCUUACGCUAUUUUACCUACGCUUAGGAUGUUGAUAUGCAUGACUGAUAU